AAGGGAGCUGGAUGCCGGGAGGGACUGGAGCCAGCAAGGCCAGAGUGAAAGCAAAAUGACAACUACUCAGAAACACGAUCUCUUCACGCCGGAGCCUCACUAUGUCCCUGGCACUAUGAAAAUGCUUUAAUGGUGGUGUCUGUACAGCAUGGAUGUGGACAGGGAAAACAGCAAGUGCACACAGUGGGACAGGCCACAGGACAGGCUGGGAGUGAAUAAAGAGUUCACACUGCU
rnacentral:lncRNA from 1 species